rnacentral:tRNA from 10 species
GCCCGGAUGGCGGAAUCGGUAGACGCGUUGGUCUCAAACACCAAUGUCCGAAAGGAUGUGCCGGUUCGACCCCGGCUCCGGGUA